GUUUAAAUUUCAGAAAAGAUAAUGAUGAAAGUAUGAAUCAUUUUUAGCAGUAUUAAGAAAAAUUACUAUUUUUGAAAUCUGCCCUCACUGGCAUCAGGUUUAUAAUACGCACUUUAUACACCUGCCUAAAUAAGUAUUACUCAUCCAUUUAUGAAAAAUACGUUUGAGAUAAAAGAAGGGUCUCUAGAUUUUACAAAAUAAUUUUAAACACUUUUUUUAAGACUGAAGAAAAAAAUGAAGAAUUAAGAAAACUUUUUGAGUGAAUAUCAUCACUGGAAUAUAAUGUGAAUCGGAUAAGAAAGAAAAAUCAUUAACUAGAACAAAAGGCAACUGGAUAUAAGAAACUCCUGGAAAUGAUAAUAAAUAUGUUAUACGUAUUUGGAAAUGAAGACUUUGGUUUCCAUAAAGACUUAAAAACAGAUAAACUGAAAAUGGAUAUUCUGAUUAAGAAGCUAAACCAUAAGACACAAGCACAAUAUGAAAAACAAUUGGAGCAGUUAAGCAAGGAUAACAUGGCUUCACUAAAUAAGAAGGAACUCACACUUAAAGAUGUGGAAUGUAAAUUCUCCGAAAUGAAAAACUGCUUAUGA
rnacentral:lncRNA from 1 species